rnacentral:rRNA from 1 species
UACAGAGGGGGCAAGCGUUGUUCGGAAUUACUGGGCGUAAAGGGCUCGUAGGCUGCCAACUAAGUCGGACGUGAAAUCCCUCGGCUUAACCGGGGAACUGCGUCUGAUACUGGAUGGCUUGAGUUUGGGAGAGGGAUGCGGAAUUCCAGGUGUAGCGGUGAAAUGCGUAGAUAUCUGGAGGAACACCGGUGGCGAAGGCGGCAUCCUGGACCAACACUGACGCUGAUGAGCGAAAGCCAGGGGAGCAAACGGG